rnacentral:lncRNA from 1 species
AUGAGGCCCGCAUUCCUUUAUGGCAGGGUAGAGACAUCUUCAUGCUGUAACGAAGCGUUUCAGACGGGGAAGCUGCCGUUAGGACGAAAAUACUGCACGCUGUUGGCAUCGAGCGCGCUACUCCCACCGCUUUCUGAAUCUCAUCCCCAGACUGCUGCACAGUACGUUCCUGGGUAUGGCCGUUGUGGAGCUGCAGGGGGAAGGCGCCUGCUUUGCUGGAACAUUUCCUAUCUCAGGAGCUGUUGUUCCCCAUCGCCUGGGGCUUGCGGAUGGAGUUUGCUUGGCACUCACGGAAAGUAUCAGACUUGGCAAUUUUGCGUUGAAGCUGGUAUUCGGUGAACGUUUUUAUCUUCACCAAGAAAGGCAGCAGACAGAAAACAAAAAGAUGAGCGGAAAGCUAUCUCCCACAUCCAACGCUGCAAUCUGGUUUCCUUCCACUUAAGUCUGCGAAUGCAUAAAAAGAAAAAGGUUUUAUUUUGGGGAUAUGAGGAAGAAACGCGAGGCUUCUCACAAGCCAAGUUGCCAG